rnacentral:rRNA from 1 species
AGAGUUUGAUCCUGGCUCAGAACGAACGCUGGCGGCAGGCUUAACACAUGCAAGUCGAACGGUCUCUUCGGAGGCAGUGGCAGACGGGUGAGUAAUGCAUGGGAAUCUACCGUUCUCUACGGAAUAACUCAGGGAGACUUGUGCUAAUACCGUAUACGCCCUUUUGGGGAAAGAUUUAUCGGAGAAUGAUGAGCCCAUGUUGGAUUAGCUAGUUGGUAGGGUAAAGGCCUACCAAGGCGACGAUCCAUAGCUGGUCUGAGAGGAUGAUCAGCCACACUGGGACUGAGACACGGCCCAGACUCCUACGGGAGGCAGCAGUGGGGAAU